AGUUUGAUCCUGGCUCAGGAUGAACGCUAGCGGCAGGCUUAACACAUGCAAGUCGAGGGGCAGCGCGUUGUAGCAAUACGAUGGCGGCGACCGGCGAAAGGGUGCGUAACGCGUGAGCAACCUGCCCCGUAUCCGGGACAUAAGCGGUGGAAAACGCCGUCUAAUUUCCCAUAACAACGAGGGCCGCAUGGUCCAUGUUUGAAAGAUGCGUCGGAUACGGAUGGGCUCGCGAGACAUUAGCUAGUCGGCGUGGUAACGGCACACCGAGGCGACGAUGUCUAGGGGUUCUGAGAGGAAGGUCCCCCCACACUGGAACUGAGACACGGUCCAAACUCCUACGGGAGGCAGCAGUGAGGAAUAUUGGUCAAUGGGCGAGAGCCUGAACCAGCCAAGUAGCGUGGAGGAUGACGGCCCUACGGGUUGUAAACUCCUUUUAUGCGGGGAUAAAGUCCACUACGCGUAGUGGUUUGCAGGUACCGCAUGAAUAAGGACCGGCUAAUUCCGUGCC
rnacentral:rRNA from 1 species